UACGGGGGGGGCAAGCGUUGUUCGGAAUUACUGGGCGUAAAGGGCGUGUAGGUGGCCAACUAAGUCCGACGUGAAAUCCCCGGGCUUAACCUGGGAACUGCAUUUGUGACUGGCGGGCUAGAGUAUGGCAGAGGGGGGUAGAAUUCCACGUGUAGCAGUGAAAUGCGUAGAGAUGUGGAGGAAUACCGAUGGCGAAGGCAGCCCCCUGGGCCAAUACUGACGCUCAUGCACGAAAGCGUGGGGAGCAAACAGG
rnacentral:rRNA from 1 species